AAAAUAUGAACCCAACCCGGC
rnacentral:miRNA from 1 species